rnacentral:lncRNA from 1 species
CCUGACCUCAAGUGAUCUGCCCGCCUAGGCCUCCCAAAGUGCUGGGAUUACAGGCGUGAGCCACCACACCCAGUCACAGAUAUCUUUUGAUAUCUCAAGAACUAUGGACGGAAUUAAAGAAUUCCAAGACCAAUUAAAGAAUUUCAAGUGAGACAAUUCAUUUUCUUAUGAUCUUGGUCCUGUGUUUGGAGAGGCAAAUGUGUGUUUUAGUGAAAUGUAAAUCCAGGGAGAAGGUGCAGUAGAAGAAACUGCUCACCUGUCCUUGUAGCUAUAGCUAACCUUUAUGGAGCUCUAUCAGCUAGGCAGUAUUUACUCAUCAGUUCUGGGAGGUGAAUGCUGUUAUAAUCUCCAUUUUCCAAAUGUGACAACAGAGACACAGAGAAGUUAAGUGACUUGCCCAACAUCAAACAGCUAGUUUUACAGGACCAUGCUCCUUGUAUAAGUUGUUACACAUGGUCCCCCUAGCUUUGUGGCUCACGAUCCUGUGUGCAGAAUGCUAUUGUGGAAAGCAGGGAGAAAAUCAAGCUGCGGUAUACUGGGAGAGAAAGAACAAAGGAAAGCUCUUAAGGCGACAACAAGGACAAUGUCUCCAAGGACAGUGCAAUUUCCCAUCAGUGAGGUACUGGUCAGGCUCCCCAGCCUCAGAGGCCCAUCCAGGGUUUCUUCGCUGCCAGAGUCAUGCUGUUCAACUGCUCGUAGGGGUGCUUCAGCCCUGGAAAGGAGUCCAGGCGGUAGGGCUGCCAGAGACCUGGCUGGUCUAUCCAAAGACAAAGGAGGAUGCCAUUCCUCUGUGAGGUGGGGAGGAGCAGAUGUUUUGCCUCUAGUGAGACAAUAAUUUACUUCCCUAUUAUUGUUUGACUUUGCCUUGUUUCUGCCUAUGAAUUACUAACAGAGGCUUGCAGCACUAUCUAUGGGGCCUGAAACAUACAAUAAGGGGCCAGAAGGCCUUGAGAGAGCUGAAAAAGAAAUCAUCACCCUAGCCUCACCCAGUCACCUGUCUCCAGGCAAAAUAAUUCCCUGUCCUUCAUGAUGAUUCGGAGAAGACCAGCCCCACUCAGCUGCUGUUGCCAACCAACCAUAGUUCUUGUUACCCUGGGCCACAAGUGCCUUAUCCACUAGAUUGAGAAAGUUAAUGCCAGAGGGAAGUGAGAAACUAACUAUGGAAGAGUGGACCCAUGUUGCAAAAACAAAGUUCUAGGGAAAGACGUGAACAAAGAUGGGUGAGUAUGAAUGGGGUCUGACUGGAACAUGGCAGAGAAGAAAUUCAACUAUGCAAUGAGAUAAAGCAAAGAUUCUAAUGAAAGACUGAUGUGGUCAUAAACAAACAAACAAACAAACAAAAAA